UUUAGAGUUUGAUCCUGGCUCAGAUUGAACGCUGGCGGCAGGCCUAACACAUGCAAGUCGAGCGGUAACAGAUCCAGCUUGCUGGAUGCUGACGAGCGGCGGACGGGUGAGUAACGCAUAGGAAUUUACCCGAUAGUGGGGGAUAACCUGGGGAAACUCAGGCUAAUACCGCAUACGUCCUACGGGAGAAAGGGGGCCUUGGCUCCCGCUAUCGGAUGAGCCUAUGCCGGAUUAGCUGGUUGGUGAGGUAAUGGCUCACCAAGGCGACGAUCCGUAGCUGGUCUGGGAGGAUGAUCAGCCACAUCGGGACUGAGACACGGCCCGAACUCCUACGGGAGGCAGCAGUGGGGAAUAUUGGACAAUGGGGGCAACCCUGAUCCAGCCAUGCCGCGUGUGUGAAGAAGGCCCUCGGGUUGUAAAGCACUUUCAGCGAGGAAGAACGCCUGGCGGUUAAUACCCGCCAGGAAAGACAUCACUCGCAGAAGAGCACCGCA
rnacentral:rRNA from 1 species